rnacentral:rRNA from 1 species
AGAGUUUGAUCCUGGCUCAGGAUGAACCUUUGCGGCGUGCCUAAUACAUGCAAGUCGAGCGAGAAUUUUUCAAAUGACACUUCGGUUGAUUUUGGAAAAGGACAGCGGCGGACGGGUGAGUAACGCGUAGGCAACCUGCCCCUGACAGGGGGAUAGCCAUUGGAAACGAUGAUUAAAACCUCAUAACGCCGAAGGAACACAUGUUUCAUCGGCCAAAGAUUUAUCGGUCAGGGAUGGGCCUGCGUCUGAUUAACUAGUUGGUGAGGUAACGGCCCACCAAGGUGACGAUCAGUAGCCGACCUGAGAGGGUGAUCGGCCACAUUGGAACUGAGACACGGUCCAAACUUCUACGGAAGGCAGCAGUAGGGAAUCUUGCACAAUGGGCGAAAGCCUGAUGCAGCAACGCCGCGUGAAGGAUGAAGGCCUUCGGGUUGUAAACUUCUGUUCUUAGGGAAGAAGAAAGUGACGGUACCUAAGGAGAAAGCCCCGGCUAACUACGUGCCAGCAGCCGCGGUAAUACGUAGGGGGCAAGCGUUAUCCGGAAUUAUUGGGCGUAAAGAGUGCGUAGGUGGUUAUCUAAGCGUAAGGUUUAAGCGUGCAGCUCAACUGCAUCUCGCCUUGCGAACUGGACUACUUGAGUGCAGGAGGGGAAAGCGGAAUUCCUAGUGUAGCGGUGAAAUGCGUAGAUAUUAGGAGGAACACCAGUGGCGAAGGCGGCUUUCUGGACUGUAACUGACACUGAGGCACGAAAGCGUGGGGAGCAAACAGGAUUAGGUACCCUGGUAGUCCACGCCGUAAACGAUGAGUGUUAAGUAUCGGUAGAUUCGGUGCUUAAGCUAACGCAGUAAGCACUCCGCCUGGGGAGUACGGUCGCAAGACUGAAACUCAAAGGAAUUGACGGGGACUCGCACAAGCGGUGGAGCAUGCGGUUUAAUUCGAUGCAACGCGAAGAACCUUACCAGGUCUUGACA